AUUGAACGCUGGCGGCAGGCCUAACACAUGCAAGUCGAGCGGAUGAAGGGAGCUUGCUCCUGGAUUCAGCGGCGGACGGGUGAGUAAUGCCUAGGAAUCUGCCUUGUCUUUGGGGAUAACGUCCGGAAACGGGCGCUAAUACCGCAUACGUCCUGAGGUAGAAAGUGGGGGAUCUUCGGACCUCACGCUAUCAGAUGAUCCUAGGUCGAAUUAGCUAGUUGGUGGGGUAAAGGCCUACCAAGGCGACGAUCCGUAACUGGUCUGAGAGGAUGACCAGUCACACUGGAACUGAGACACGGUCCAGACUCCUACGGGAGGCAGCAGUGGGGAAUAUUGGACAAUGGGCGAAAGCCUGAUCCAGCAAUGCCGCGUGUGUGAAGAAGGUCUUCGGAUUGUAAAGCACUUUAAGUUGGGAGGAAGGGCAGUAAGUUAAUACCUUGCUGUUUUGACGUUACCAAAAGAAUAAGCACCGGCUAACUUCGUG
rnacentral:rRNA from 1 species